rnacentral:rRNA from 1 species
AAUCAACGCUGGCGGCGUGCCUAACACAUGCAAGUCGAACGCGAAAGCCCCGCAAGGGGCAAGUAGAGUGGCAAACGGGUGAGUAACACGUGGGUGACCUGCCUUCGAGUGGGGGAUAACGUCCCGAAAGGGACGCUAAUACCGCAUAAUAUCCUGCCUUUUAAGAGGUGGACAUCAAAGCUGGGGAUCGCAAGACCUGGCGCUUGAAGAGGGGCCCGCGCCCGAUUAGCUAGUUGGUGGGGAAUGGCUCACCAAGGCUACGAUCGGUAGCCGGCCUGAGAGGGCGGACGGCCACACUGGGACUGAGACACGGGCCCGACUCCUACGGGAGGCAGCAGUGAGGAAUAUUGGUCAAUGGACGCAAGUCUGAACCNGCCAUGCCGCGUGAAGGAUGAAGG